GGCUGGGUCGGGCUGCCCGGGCGACGCCGGAGUUGCAGUACUUCAGAGGAUAAAAGGGAGAGGUUGAGAUUUAUGCCCAAGGAAAUUAGCUAUACAUACAUAUUCAGUAGGUUAUAGGAGAAUCUUAUGAAUAUUUAUGAGUCAAUACAUAUGCACAGAAUGAACAUGUAUGUAACAUACAACACAUGUUCACUUUGGGGUGGAGACAACAUUAAGAUACAGUCAAAUUUAGGCCACACACAUUAAAAGGUGAAGCAGGGACAUGAAAGUAAUCAACGCUCAGCCUCUAUGAAUCAGCCAGAACCGGUCUGUGGUCUCUUAGAAGAAAGUUACUGAAAUCAGUCUCUUGUCCAGUCAGAGCUGUAGUUAUGCCUUGUGGAGCACGAGGUCAGUUAGUCAGUGUUUGGUGGUUAGUGAGCUGCAAUUGUUUCAAUAUUGCUUAUCUGGAGACCAGUGCUUGUUUUGCUGAUAGAGAAAAAGAAAAACCUUGAGGCAGUUAGAAAAUAGUUUAUUCUUUAACUGUAGGGGCUGUAGGACUUAACCCUUGCCUACUACCACCUUAGGUCUUGUUUAUAAUUUGGUAUCUUAUUACCACAAAGAGUCCAUUCUGUCAGCUUAUGACCUCUAUUUUAGCAACAUAAAAUAAGAGCAGCUUUUUCUACAUCACGUAGAAUGCACUUCCUCCAAUUCAAACUUCCAAAUCAUGAAUUAUUGCUAAAAGGAGGUGAAAGGGCUGAGAAGGUUAGGGCCAAGUGAGCAGACCACAGUAUAUCCUUUGGGAUAAUAAAUGUCAUUUUACAUAAGAAAGAGACCCAUGGUCAAAUAAGUGUGUAAAAUACUUGAUUAAAUGUAUUUCUUUACUGCAGGACUUUUUUUCAGAAAUUUUAGAAAGCAAAUAUAUAUUGUGACUCUUCAAGUUAAAGUUAUACUUACAGCAUUUCUCACAUUUAUUUCCUGUGAAACUUUUUUGUACAAUGACUUGCAGAGCAACUAUUCCACAGAACAUACUUUGGAAAACACUAAACUGGAACACCAAUGACCUCCCCAAGAGGUCUCCGUAAGGUAGAAUGGUAGACAGCUGUUGGACACGUCUGGUUUUUCAAAGUGGCAAAAUAGUUUUGGGCUGUCUUCCUCAAGAGGGGGAUGGGAGAAGCCUUUUGAAACAGAGUAGAUAAAGAAUUAAUUUGGCAGGGAGGACAAACUUACAUUAUGUUUCAGAUGCUCAACAUUAUUUAAUUCUCAAAAUUGCUGUCUCAAAUGGAUACGGUUAUCCCCACUUUACAAGCAACAAAACUGACAUUCAUGAAUUAGUCAAAUGCCACCUUCAAGCUCACAUAGCCAGGAAGUGAUAGCACUGGUAUUUGGAGCCAAAUCUUUAGUAUAGUACAGUGAAGAACCCAAGCCCAGUAGCAGGGCAGCCAGCAGGGGCUCUGGAAGAACUGAUUUUGUUUUCAUGGUCACUUGAGUAAUUCAUGAAGAGUGAGAGUAGUGGGUAGUCUGCUCUCAAAUAGUGAGCAGAAGAAAGUCCCCAGUAUCGUCUUCUGAUGAUGGGCAGGGGAUAAUCCUUCUUUGAAAGAUAUAUGGUCAGGAAAAAUUGUGAAAUUCGUUUUGCUAGAAGUUCAGUUGCAAAUACAGACAUAUCUCAAAGAUGUUGUGGGUUCAGGUUCCAGACCACUGCAAUAAAGUGACCGUCACAAUAAAGCAAGUCACACAAAUGUUAUGGUUCCCCAGUGCAUAUAAAAGUUACAUUUACAUGAUACUGUAGUUUUUUUAAGUGUGCAAUAGCAUUAUGUCUUAAAAAAAGUACAUACUUUAAUUUAAAGGUAAUUUCUUGCUAAAAAAUGCUAAUGAUCAUCUGAGCUUUCAGUGAGUCAUAAUCUUUUUGCUGGUGGAGGGUCUUGCCACAAUAUUGAUGGCUAACUAAUUAUCAGAGUGGUGGUUGCUAGAAGUUGGAGCAGCUGUGGCAAUUUCUUAAAAUAAGACAACAAUGAAGUUUGUUUCAGCUAUUGACUCUUCCUUUUAUGAAAGAUUUCUCUGUUUGAUAGCAUUUUGCCCACAGUAUAACUUCUUUAAAAUUGGAGUCGGUCCUCCCAAAUCGUGCCACUGACGGAUCAAUUAGGUUUGUUGUCAUUUCAACAAUGUUCACAGCACCUUCACCAGGAUUCCAUCUCAACAAACCAUUUCCUUUGCUUCUACAUAAGAAGCAACUCCUCGUCUGUUCAAGUUUUAUCAUGAGAUAGCCACAAUGCAGUGGCACCUUCAGGUUCCGCUUGUCAUUCUAGUUUCCUCGCUAUUUCUUUUUUUUUUUUCUAGUCGCAAAAUUGAAUAUUUUAUUUUGAGAUGUUAAUUUUCUUUUUUAUUUAUUUAUUUAUUUAUUUAUUUAUUUAUUUAUUUUUAUUAUACUUUAAGUUUUAGGGUACAUGUGCACAUUGUGCAGGUUAGUCACAUAUGUAUACAUGUGCCAUGCUGGUGCACUGCACCCACUAACUCAUCAUCUAGCAUUAGGUAUAUCUCCCAAUGCUAUCCCUCCCCCCUCCCCCCACCCCACAACAGUCCCCAGAGUGUGAUAUUCCCCUUCCUGUGUCCAUGUGAUCUCAUUGUUCAAUUCCCACCUAUGAGUGACAAUAUGCGGUGUUUGGUUUUUUGUUCUUGCGAGUUUACUGAGAAUGAUGCUUUCCAAUUUCAUCCAUGUCCCUACAAAGGACAUAAACUCAUCAUUUUUUAUGGCUGCAUAGUAUUCCAUGGUGUGUAUGUGCCACAUUUUCUUAAUCCAGUCUAUCAUUGUUGGGCAUUUGGGUUGGUUCCAAGUCUUUGCUAUUGUGAAUAAUGCCGCAAUAAACAUACGUGUGCAUGUGUCUUUAUAGCAGCAUGAUUUACAGUUCUUUGGGUAUAUACCCAGUAAUGGGAUGGCUGGGUCAAAUGGUAUUUCUAGUUCUAGAUCCCUGAGGAAUCGCCACACUGACUUCCACAAUGGUUGAACUAGUUUACAGUCCCACCAACAGUGUAAAAGUGUUCCUAUUUCUCCACAUCCUCUCCAGCACCUGUUGUUUCCUGACUUUUUAAUGAUUGCCAUUCUAACUGGUGUGAGAUG
rnacentral:lncRNA from 1 species